CAGGGAGACAACAAAAUGUUUAAUAUUAUUAUUUUGUCACCUUAGGUCGAUCGGUAUCUCACGUUUUUAAUUUAUUAAGAAUUUCAUUUCCUAAGUUUUUCUAGGUCACACCCAUUAUUUUUCCUGGGCCAUUAGCUCAGGUGGUUAGAGCGCACCCCUGAUAAGGGUGAGGUCCCUGGUUCAAGUCCAGGAUGGCCCAUAUCUCUAUGUUGGGGGUAUAGCUCAGUUGGUAGAGCGCCUGCUUUGCAAGCAGGAUGUCAGCGGUUCGAGUCCGCUUACCUCCACUGAUCACCACCUCUUCCAUAAUCGGUACAAAGGAAAUUUUUUGAGUUGUGAUCAAAUUCUGAAAGAAUCUAGCUUCCUAAUGAAAUCAUUAAGAUGCUGGACUCAUUGAAUUAAUUUCAUUGUUUUCAGAGAACCUUGACAACUGCAUAGAUUAUUUUUAAAGACAAUAAGCAUCUUUAAUGAUGCAGAUUUAUUAUUUGUGCAAAUGCAUUAAUAACAAUUCUAUUAAGCUGAUGCUUCAAUAUUUGAAGUUAUU
rnacentral:tRNA from 1 species